GUGUCAGCAGCCGCGGUAAUACGGAGGAUGCGAGCGUUAUCCGGAUUUAUUGGGUUUAAAGGGUGCGUAGGCGGAUUAAUAAGUCAGUGGUGAAAACCUGCAGCUUAACUGUAGAAUUGCCAUUGAUACUGUUAGUCUUGAGUACGGUCAAGGUAGGCGGAAUGUGUAAUGUAGCGGUGAAAUGCUUAGAUAUUACACAGAACACCGAUUGCGAAGGCAGCUUACUGGGCCAUUACUGACGCUGAGGCACGAAAGCGUGGGGAGCGAACAGGAUUAGAUACCCUGGUAGUCCACGCCGUAAACGAUGAUCACUCGCUGUUGGCGAUACACAGUCAGCGGCUAAGCAAAAGCAUUAAGUGAUCCACCUGGGGAGUACGGCCGCAAGGCUGAAACUCAAAUGAAUUGACGGGG
rnacentral:rRNA from 1 species